rnacentral:lncRNA from 1 species
CUUUGUGGCAAUGGCCCAUGGCUGGCCAUUUUUCAUCUCUGGACUUCACUUUUCAUGCGGGCACAACAAUGACAGAUUCCUCCAGUGUCCUCAGACAUUCCUGAGAAGCAAAUGGGUGGAGCCAAAGUGAAAACACUGAUGGUCGCUACUCUCCCCUCCCCCAAGUAAGAAGAAGACUUGUUUUGCCUUCUGGGUCACUGUCAUCAUUUCUGAUAUUGUGCCAACACAUCCUUCUGCAUUGGGGGCUGGGAAUGUCAGGGCAGGCACAGACAGUCAGUGGAAACAGAAAAGUUCCACAGGGCACAAGAGUCCAUAGAAAGGUUUUGACGAGCGGAGUGGCCAGAGGCCGUGGUGCCGACUAUCUGCUGUGCAGUGCACUGCCUUGUUUGACGAAUCGUUUGCCAAAGAGCCUGGCCAGCGGGAGCUUUGACCUUGGAGGGAGAGUGAUCUGUCUUCAUGGAGACACGCUGUCAUAAGCACAUGUCUCAAUUGCACCUGGGAAGGUGCUGAGGCUGCGCUAGAUGAGAGCCUUGGACACUGCUAAGGAGGAAAAAUGUGUGGUCCAUCCGUGGGCAUGGAAGCAGCAAAAAUUAACCCAGAGUGACCCAGCAGGACAGGCUGGAAUUCAUAUUCCCCUCCAGUGGCCAAGCAUUCUCCACAAGGCUCAAUGCACAGUCAGUCGUUCCUUGGGGAGCCACAGUGUCCCUCACCUCCCAACUUCCAACACCAGGCUCUUUAUCCUCACCAAGGACAAAGGGAACAGAGUUCUUCAUUGGUCACCAAGAACAAAGGACAGAGACAAUCUUUCGAGGCAACACCUUUAGCAGUAU